rnacentral:ncRNA from 1 species
UCGAUAAAGCCAAACUUCGAGUAAUCGGAGGGCGGAAAACCACGGGUCCUGAGUUUAAGGGAUAGCCAGGUUGCCGAA